rnacentral:rRNA from 1 species
GUCUAUGGCCAUACUACGUUGAAAACACCGGUUCUCGUCCGAUCACCGAAUUUAAGCAACGUCGGGCCCGGUUAGUACUUGGAUGGGUGACCGCCUAGGAAUACCGGGUGCUGUAGAGU